rnacentral:rRNA from 1 species
GCUACUGCCAUCAGAGUUCGAUUAAGCCAUGUUAGUCGAGGGUACCUCUUCUUCUUCGGAGGAUGAGGUAACCCGGCGGACGGCUCAGUAACACGUGGAUAACUUGCCCUUGGGUCUGGGAUAACCCCUGGGAAACUGGGGCUAAUACCGGAUAGAGCAUCGAUCGCUGGAAUGCAUGAUGCUCGAAAACUACGGUGCCCAAGGAUAGGUCUGCGGCUGAUUAGGUUGUUGUUGAUGUAAUGGACCAACAAGCCUACGAUCGGUACGGGUUGUGAGAGCAAUAGCCCGGAGAUGGGUUCUGAGAAAAGAACCCAGGUCCUACGGGACGCAUCAGGCGCGAAAACUUUACAAUGUGCGAAAGCACGAUAAGGGAACUCUGAGUGCCCCCUAAGGGGGCUGUUCUAGUGUCUAAAAAGCGAUAGAAGUAAGGGCUGGGCAAGACCGGUGCCAGCCGCCGCGGUAACACCGGCAGCCCAAGUGGUAGCCACGUUUAUUGGGUCUAAAGCGUUCGUAGCCGGCUUGGUAAGUUCCUUGGUAAAUUUAGCCGCUUAACGGUUAAGCUUUCAGGGAAUACUGCUUGGCUUGGGACUGGGAGAGGUCAGAGGUACUCCAGGGGUAGGGGUGAAAUCCAUUAAUCCUUGGGGGACCACCGGUAGCGAAGGCGUCUGACCAGACCAGCUCCGACGGUGAGGGACGAAGGCUAGGGGCGCGAACCGGAUUAGAUACCCGGGUAGUCCUAGCUGUAAACGAUGCGGGCUAGGUGUUGGCAUUACUGCGAGUGGUGCCAGUGCCGAAGGGAAGCCGUUAAGCUCGCCAUCUGGGGAGUACGGUCGCAAGGCUUAAACUUAAAGGAAUUGGCGGGGGAGCACCACAACGGGUGGAGCCUGCGGUUCAAUUGGAUCAACGCCGGA